rnacentral:misc_RNA from 1 species
UGGCCAUCAUGGAUUGUUCCAGACUUCAUUGCCCAAGAAGGGUCUUCUUCGUUGAAUACCAUUGAUGUUUCCACUGAUAUCAUUGCAUAUGGGACUCACAAGUUUGUUUCUCAAACUUAUAUUCAAGAUUGGGCUUGAUAGAGUUUUUGCAGUUUAUGUAGAACAUAACCCUUCAUCUCCUUCGAAUAAACCAACCAAUGAAGAGCUUACUGCUCGAGCCUGGCG